UACGUAGGGUGCAAGCGUUGUCCGGAAUUAUUGGGCGUAAAGAGCUCGUAGGCGGUCUGUCGCGUCGGCUGUGAAAACUCGGGGCUCAACCCCGAGCCUGCAGUCGAUACGGGCAGACUAGAGUGCUGUAGGGGAGACUGGAAUUCCUGGUGUAGCGGUGGAAUGCGCAGAUAUCAGGAGGAACACCGGUGGCGAAGGCGGGUCUCUGGGCAGUAACUGACGCUGAGGAGCGAAAGCGUGGGGAGCAAACAGG
rnacentral:rRNA from 1 species